rnacentral:rRNA from 1 species
AUACGUAGGGUGCGAGCGUUGUCCGGAAUUACUGGGCGUAAAGAGCUCGUAGGUGGUUUGUCGCGUCGUCUGUGAAAUUCCGGGGCUUAACUCCGGGCGUGCAGGCGAUACGGGCAUAACUUGAGUACUGUAGGGGAGACUGGAAUUCCUGGUGUAGCGGUGAAAUGCGCAGAUAUCAGGAGGAACACCGGUGGCGAAGGCGGGUCUCUGGGCAGUAACUGACGCGGAGGAGCGAAAGCAUGGGUAGCGAACAGGAUUAGAUACCUGGUAGUCCAUGCCGUAAACGGUGGGCGCUAGGUGUAGGGGGCUUCCACGACUUCUGUGCCGUAGCGAACGCAUUAAGCGCCCCGCCUGGGGAGUACGGCCGCAAGGCUAAAACUCAAAGGAAUUGACGGGGG